CGCGCCCCCGCCCUCCUUAAAGGGACAGCACCUUCGCGCCGCCAGCUUCCCGCGGGGUUGGGGUUGUCUCUUUGUACACGGGGAGAUUGAGGGACACAAGUGGCGGGGACCUGCCUCGCCUUCAGGUGGGCCCGGAAAGGCGAGAACUGGAACUCUGGAUUUGCAGUUUGCUGAGCAGAUGACUAGGACGGAGAUAAAAGAGUCAACAUUUUGGGGCCAACGGCACAACUGAAAAUCCCAGAAAAGUGUGGACUUUCCAGGAAAAGGCAUUUUUGAACACCAGUCUGCACAUGAUUUCGGAUUUAUGGACAAAGGGAUCUUAUUUAUAAAGCCAUACCCAUGAACUCCCACCUUAGUCACAGAGAUACCAUCCCACAAAUAAUUGCCUUACUAGAAGAGUAAAGUACUCCUUGCCCAAAUAUUGAAGGACAGCUUUUACCUUAUUCUGCCUGUUUUUCUCUUGAGUUACAGGCACUAAAUAGUAUGUUGUAUGGUAUAUAUUACAUAGAAACAUGUUAAGAGAGUCAUGGAAGGACCUAGGCUUUCUCAAGGUACAAGGCCAAGGCCUCAGACCUUAGCCCUAAUUAUAUUUCAGGAGGAUUUGUAGAUUCCACACUAGGUCUAUUAUAAUUUUCAUCAAUUUUGAUUAAACUGAGGAGUUGGUUUUACAAAUGUUCAUGCUCAUAGAACUCAAAAUCCGAGAAGCUGGCCCAUUUGUCUGACACACUGACACCCACUGGUCCAUCAUACCCACUGUCCUCACUGUGAGCCAGAGGAAAAGUUCAUACACUUGCCCAGUCCUGAAAUACGAGCUCUGACCAACCUCUAACCCACCCUCCCACCAAAACCAGGAUUUCUCCCACAGUAUCCUCAACACCUGAACAUCCACUUCAGCUUUAAAAUCUCCAAGGAGCUCAUUACUGCAGCUGUCAGCCUCCUCUACCUGUGAGGAACCUCUUCUUUUACAGAGGACAAAUCAGGUACCCAGUAAUUUUCAUCCAUUGGGCCUAGCUUUGUCACUGGGGGAACAAGACAGAUAUGACACCCGCUUGAGGCGCUCUUGGUCCAGCAAAGAAAAGUCCUUUGAUGAGUGGUAACGGUAAAAUGGGAUGAGUCCUGAGCAGACAGUAGAAUACGUUCCCGGGGACGCCUUUCUCCUGGUAAGUCCGAACCUGUUCCAGGCCGGUAUGAGAAUUCGUAAGUAAGCUCUACUCUAUUACCCCAAGUGGGGAAGCUGGCUCCUAAAAGACCUUACAGGAAGUCCUGAAUUUCUUCCUCUACAGUCCUUUCUUCAUCAUUCUGCAUAAGUGCAACCACAUUUCAAUGGAGGUCAAAAUUCUAAAGUUUCGUGUUGCAAAAAUAAGCAGAAGGACACCAAAAAAGAUGUUUACACAAGAGCACUGGCUUCUCAGGGAUGAUGCAGUCACUGUGACUGGCCAGCACCUCUGGGUCCUUAAGAUGUGCCAGGUGCUACAUUAAGCCUUGACUUGCAUUUCUUCCUUUGUUCUUCACAGCUGUCCCAUAAGGUACCAUUCUCACGUCCUCUUUAGAAAUGAGUGCAAGGCUCAGUGUGUGACAGAUCCAGGAUGUGAACCCGAUCCGUGAACUCCACAGCCUGUUUCUCCAUUUAUACUGUUUCCUCUGUCUACUUUCUUCACUUUCAAAAGAGCCUGUUGCUUUCCAUAAAUGC
ensembl:lncRNA